rnacentral:rRNA from 1 species
UACGUAGGGUGCAAGCGUUAAUCGGAAUUACUGGGCGUAAAGCGUGCGCAGGCGGUUAUGUAAGACAGGUGUGAAAUCCCCGGGCUCAACCCGGGAACUGCGUCCGAUACUGGAAGGCUUGAAUCCGGGAGAGGGAUGUGGAAUUCCAGGUGUAGCGGUGAAAUGCGUAGAUAUCUGGAGGAACACCGGUGGCGAAGGCGACAUCCUGGACCGGUAUUGACGCUGAGGCGCGAAAGCCAGGGGAGCAAACGGG